UGGCCUGCUGCCUCUCUCUGCUGGCUCCUGCCACCACCCGCCCGGUUGGUUACUUCCCCCCAGCUAUUUAUAUCCCCCGCCCCUGCGGGCCGUUGCUCUCACUCCAAAGCAACUCUCCCCUCAGGCUCAGUAUCUCUCUCUCUCUACACCUCGCUCUCAACCACCUCUGCUGCAUCCGGCACCCCUUUCGCAGUCUAUCUCUCUCUCCAUAGUCCAUAGAAGGCAGCAGUAGCCCUCCCUCUCUUUCUCUUUCGGCGGUCGCUGCGUAGUCGAUGGCGACGAGGCGGAGAAUUGUGGUCUCUGUCGACCCCUCCCCUCCUCGCCGGACGGCGGACGGGGAAGGGAUGAAGAAAAGUACAGGUUGGUUGUUACGAAAGACUAAUCUGGAAGAAUUCAGAGUACCAGGGAAGUUUUCAUGGCGAGUGCCGCGCCGUUGCAUGAAGAGUUCACAUCACAAUUCGCUUCAGAAGGUUUGGUUGAAGCAGUUUUCAGAUUUUUGUUUCACUGACGAAGCAAUCUUCAGACUUGUGUCCUGCAGGCACUCCGACGAGAACUGAGACGCCCUGGCGGCUUUUUUCCGGAGCACAAGAUGUCAAUUCAUGUCCGCAGGGCAUAAUUCAGGAGCAUUGGUGGCCUUGCAAACACCAUGUUCAAAAUUCAAAACUCCAAUGGUCUUUUGGUUUCUCCCCGUGCUAGAAAUAGUGUUACUUUGACUGCUAAUUACGGUAUCAAAUAAAGUCAGUUUAUAAAAUUAA